rnacentral:rRNA from 1 species
GACGAACGCUGGCGGCGUGCUUAACACAUGCAAGUCGAACGGAAAGGCCCUGCUUUUGUGGGGUGCUCGAGUGGCGAACGGGUGAGUAACACGUGAGUAACCUGCCCUUGACUUUGGGAUAACUUCAGGAAACUGGGGCUAAUACCGGAUAGGAGCUCCUGCUGCAUGGUGGGGGUUGGAAAGUUUCGGCGGUUGGGGAUGGACUCGCGGCUUAUCAGCUUGUUGGUGGGGUAGUGGCUUACCAAGGCUUUGACGGGUAGCCGGCCUGAGAGGGUGACCGGCCACAUUGGGCCUGAGAUACGGCCCAGAAUCCUACGGGAGGCAGCAGUGGGGAAUAUUGCACAAUGGGCGGAAGCCUGAUGCAGCGACGCCGCGUGCGGGAUGACGGCCUUCGGGUUGUAAACCGCUUUCGCCUGUGACGAAGCGUGAGUGACGGUAAUGGGUAAAGAAGCACCGGCUAACUACGUG